UGGAAUCUCAUCAAUUCCAACAAAUAAAAAAUAAUUUCCUCAAAAGAAAUAUUUCUUGAAGCAAUUUUAUGAUCAGCAGAUGCUACGUUAUUAGAAAGGGUAGAAUGGAAAAAGGAGACUCAUGUAGUCAAAACCAUCCACUUUGGUGUGUAUGCCUUCUUCCCGGAUGACUUGUACUUCAUGAAUUCAGUGUGAUUUAUGCUCGUCUGUGAUGACUCUCUUUGUAGACAAUCGCAAAAUCAUUGUAGUUUAGUUUUUCAGAGAAUUGGGCGUUCCUGUUUUGAGGGCAAUUCUAGAUUAGCUACUUUUUGGUGUAAAUUAAUGAGUUACAUUCUUCUAAUCAGAC
rnacentral:misc_RNA from 1 species